UUAUGAUCAUUGAUGCCUCAUCCUCCUCCAGUGUCACAUUCUAGGAACGUGGGUAAAGAAGAGACCUCUUGUGCACUGGACAACUUCUGUGACAGUGUUGUCAUGGAGAUAUGGCUGGGGGCUCAGAAGGCUGGCCAGGGGUGCUCUUCCCAGGUCGAGCUGAGCUGCAGGGCAGGGGCGGCCUCUGUCAGAGCGGGAGAAUGGCGGCUAUGACUCUGUACGGGUGCACAGCUUUCUGCUGAGGGAAAGGAAGACAGACAUUCCAGGUGGAGAGAACAUAAAAGAAGGGAACUCUGCUAGGAAGGAAGCUCCCAGCUACACCAGAGGAGGAGAAAGGGUUCAGGAAGGGGCUGAUUAAGCCAUUUGGGGGAAUGGCUCCCCAUCUCCACUACUGGAACAUGAAAGAUAACCCCUCCAAUGUCAAGGAUGCCAUGCACCUGACCCUGGGAAGGCUGGCACAGGAGCCCUGGGGGCGUGCCAGGCAUGACUCAGGGAAUCCAGGGCAGACAGGAAGAGAAGCUACAUAGAGUGACAGUCCCUCAGCUGGCAGCUGCGCCAUGAAAGGUCCCCAUGUGCAAGAAGCAAGAUUCUCUGCCCAAUGCCCUGACAAACCGACAAAUAGAAGACCAUCUAUGGAGCCUGAGUAACAAUCUUGCAAGAAUAACACAGUGACCCAUGGGACCAGUGACUAUCUCGCCAUCCUCAAAUCACAAGACCCGCUGCAUUGCAGUCCCUCUUUCUCACCUCUGCUCCUGUGCGCUCCCCGGAGAAGCACUGUAGGAACACGAACCUUCCGGAAGUCCCGCCUUCCCAGAUGUCCCCCGGUAAAUGGGCUCAACGCUCACUUCCUGCCUUUCCAGUGCUGAUGGACAGCCCCGGGCUGCUCUGAGGAUCCCCAUGGGUUACCCUUACAUCCCUGAGGGCUCUGGGGAGCACCCAGGAAACGCGGUGAACUCAGACCUCUGCUAAAUGCCUUCCCCACCCACCUCUGCCCUCCCCCAUCAGAUUGGGAACACUCCAGGGACGAGCACUUGGAGCCAUGCCUCUUAGAUCUCACUUAAUCCCGCCAGAAAGUCUACGAUAUGUGAAAGUGUAAGGCUCAGAGACAUUAGGUGCCUUGCUCCAGGUCACAGAGGGGGCAGAACUGGGAUUCCAAGGUUCUCUUCUCGUGUCUGCCAGAGAGGCCUCUUGGGGGUAACCCAGCCAGGCUGGUUCCCUGCAGAAGGGCCACAUCAGGGCAGCGCAGCUGGUGUCAGAGGGCUGGAGGUCUCCCGGCCUCGGCGGGUAGAGUGAACGCGUAGGACUGACCCCUCUCUCUCCACGUGUGCACGAGCACGGCUUCUCCUACAAAACCCAGGAGCCCGGGGUUAAAUUCCAAACCCGUGCUUCCCAGGCCUCAUCUGAUUCCCCUGCGUGGACCUUGCGGUGUGCACGGCAGGACUGAACUUUUACAAAAACGGACAGAACGUCACAAAAAUCUCCCUGUGGAGCCACUGGGAGCCAGGCAUAAAAGCAGGUGUGUGAGAGCCGCAGACCUGCUGGUCAGUUCCCGCCAGGGCCUCUGCAACUGCUGCAGAGGCAACCGCAGAUGGCGGCCCCCGGGCAGAGCAGCAUCCCGCAGCAGCGUCCGCCGCUUGGCCGCCCUCCCGGCCGUCCUUCCCAGAGUGCCCUGUCACGCCUUCAUUCUGCUGCAAGUUCCUGCCAAAGAAACACAGGCGGAGAGAGGAAAACCAGGGUCAGUUUAGAUGGGGGGUCCACGUGUUCAUCCUCCAGGAGUCACUUAGGAUACUAUGGAAUCAGUUUGUGGUUGCUGUGGGAACGCACCCUCACACACACACAGAGGUACAGGAAACAGCAGCUCCGGCCUCCACUUGUGUGUCUGUGAGCUCUCACUAGGAAAUGGGGGUGCUCAGAAGAGGCCCGUGCAGAGGAAGGGGCUUGCUUUUCAGCUUUGCCUUCGUUGCAGCCCCGUAGCCUCUCCUGGACUCUUCCUUUCUGUGUCCCUCUUCGCUCCUGCACACGGUGCCCACCCCUUCCUUCCCUGUCUUUCCACAUCCCUAAGUGUUCCUCUCCUCUCCCAGCAAGCACUAGCGCUGCAGGAAGCCUCUCACCUGGGCCAGUCACAGGGAAAGUGACUGACGAUGCCCUGUGUGCCCUUCCUGGGACUUUUGCGUUUCCAGGGACAAAUGGCUGUGAAGGUAUAGGGUCCCAGGACUCAAGCGGGAGCCCUCCCCGGCAGAGGGCACCCACAGGAGGGCUGCUGACACACUCCAUCACCCAAGGGCCUCUCAGGGUGUUGGGUCUUGUAAGCCACCCCUUGGAGUCACCCCAAAGCCUGAUGGAGAGAAGUCUUUAACACUGGUUCCUGCUUCGCAUUCCAAAUAGCCCCCUGCCCCAGCACCCACCAAAAGAGGCACACUGAGAAAGGGCAUGGGCCCGGCUGUCACUGGCUGUGUUUGUGGAGACCUCGCCGGUUGACUUGACAGGGGGCCAUCUAGCACGGCAGCCCCUGCCCCUGGAGGUGCCCAAGCCGGGGUUAGAGGCCUCCGCCUGACAAACAGCACUGUGGCAGCAGCGAAAGGGCAGAGGGAAGGCGAGCCCGAGACGCUGAGCGGAGCUGACAGCAGGGACAUGCCUUCGCCCUUUCCCUCCAGAGUGACUGGGGCCUGGAAUUUGAAAGCCCCCGUGUGUGACACGGCCUGACCGCCUGACCUUUGCCGUGUGGGUGAUGGGAACGGGUGAAAUGACACAAGAUACUGCUCAGACUGAGGGAGGCCCUGAUGUGGACAGGUCACUCCAUCUCAUUAGGUGCUCACGGGUGAUAUCAGCAGAAUAGCUCACCUCUCAGAACAUCAGACUUUCCUUCUGGGAAUUAGAGAUGAGGGUCAUGGCCAAGGUCAUCAGAUGUAAGUGACAGACCAGGACUAGAAUCUAGAUCUUUUAGCUCUGAAGGCUCAUCCCACUGGUUUUUCCAGAGGUGUGAAAAAUUAUCCCAAAUGUCAAUGCAAAGUUCAGUAGCAAAUAGGUGCAGGCCUCAGAUGCAGAGACAGUCCCCCACUUCAAUCCUGUCCCAGUGUAUAAUUACUGAUGCCCACGGCACAGUGAAUGACCCAGGCUAGCAGCUUACCUGUGGGCCCCUCACUUCCAGUAGACCCCUCCUCCCACCCCCUGCAGUCCAUUCCUCUCCAGUGUUCACUUCUGCUUCUACCAGAUCAAUGCAUGCUUGCUGCUAGUCAGUGAGUCUUGUUUCUAAACCCGCUUUAUGUCUGCUUUGCCUACCUUUGUAAAAGCUGUAUUGCAAUUAGGUAAUUUAAUGAACGUUUGGCAAAUAGAUAAUAUAACGAAACUGGAAAGAAGGCCAGUUGUUACACCCAUGCAGACAGAGUUAAAUACCUGAAGAUCAAAUGACCACGAAUUGCUAGAAAGCACUGCUGCUGAGUUAGAUGUGGGUAAGGUGACAUUAAAGAUUGAGAGGAAAUGAACAUGUCGAGAAUGAUUAUUCACUCAGAUUGCUUGGCAAGUGUGAAAAUUUGUACCAUUUUCAAGAAAUGGGAGCUGAAAGUGGUAGGUGAUGGAUUAUUGGGUGCGGCUUACUCAGGAAAGACAGCAGGACACGCCCUCCCGUGGACCCACACUCAAAGGAAGGGCGUUGGACCUACAUCAAAGGAUGGUGAGUGGAUGUACUACAUUUGUAUGUUUUAAGUUAAAAUGAAAUGCUAAAGGUGCGUAGCAUAAUUUUAUCUGAUUUCUCUUUUCAACCAACUUUUUCCAUUAACUGACCAACAGCAGUCCAUAUUGUGUCAGAUAAAAGGGAUCCUGAUCUUACAGCCAACAGUUAUUGAGCAGUUAUUUGGUGCCAGACACUUACUAAGUGCCUUUUAUGUAGUAUCUCUUUUAAUCCCCACAGUCCACCCACAAGCUAGAUAUUCACAUCCUUUGGUGGCUCAUAGGCCAGUUUUCACAAGUGCCGCUCUCUCCUGCUUCCCGCCAUCUUUCUGAUGCCAGCCCGUUACUGAACUGCAUCUCCGUACACCAGCGCCUUGCCUCUCACAGCCUCCUGUUGAAGGUGCUGAAGUUCUCAGGUUCCUGAGAAGACCCACCCUCUGCAGGAUACAUGGGGAAGGAGGCUUACUGUCUCCAAAAUGGCCCAAAACAGGUGCCAGAGUUCACGCCUGGAUGUGAAGAAGCCAGUAAGCAACUCAUGGGUGGGAGUUGUGAACAGAAACUCUAGGGCCAAAGCCCAACUCUAAGCCUUUUGCUGGGAUGGAGAAAGAUACUGAAGAUGGGAAUUUCAGCAGCAAAAACACUAGAAAGCC